CUUGCUUCCACAAUAGAUCUACUUGCAGUGAUCUCUUCAAAUGAAACUACAAAUCUCAUAAAAUUUAAUAUACCGUUUUAUAGAUCAUUGAAGUUUUAGAUUGUGAAGGGUCUUUGGCUGGUUCAUACAAAACUUGUGAAGAGACUAUAUGUAUGUUGGCCAUAUAUAAUUCAUUUGACCUUGUAAAGUGUAAUAAGCAGUAAUAAAGCCAAGCUAGAACCUUGAAGGUUGUUUCCAUUAAAUAUAGAACAUCAUUUUUGGACUUAUAAAUAGGUCCUAAAUUCACAUUUUAGGUUGAAAUUAUGACGAAAACUUUCCCUGAUGUUCUGCUAAUAUUUUCUACAUAUAGUUUGAAUUUCUAUUGAUAUUGCAACUAGGACGACUGAUGUAGAGAGAAUGAAAUGAAGCAAUCCAAGUUCAAGAGGAUUUGUGUCUUCUGUGGACUGGCCACGGCAAGAAGAGCAGCUACCAAGCAAUCCACAUUUACUUUUCUCUCUUUACUUCAUUACCUUGGACUAGCCGGGGCAAGAAGAGUAGCUACGAAGCAAUCCACAUUUGUGUCUUCUGAAUAAGAAUUAUUUUUAGUGGUUUCUCACGUCUUAAUAACCAAAUUCAAAUAACGGGGAAAAUAAAUAGUAUAUUAGCUUGAGGUGAUGCUUAUCAGUGUUGGCUUAAAAUCUCAGUGAAUCAAGGAACCCCUUUGUAGAAUAUGCAGUGCAAUAUGCUGUAGCAGCAGCCCUUGCAACGUUGGAAAAGGAUAAGAAGGAUUUGUUACACAAACUACUUUUACAAGAUCUUGACAUUACAAUCUUAGGUUGCAAUGACUUCUAUUCAUAUCGGAAUCAGGUGGGGUUUAUCUAGUGAGAUUGGAAAAGGGAAAGUUCGCAGCGGUUUUGAUGUUAGUUCUGCAGUUUAUGGUAGUCAACGAUAUGUUCGCUUUUCACCAGAAGUGCUUUCUUCUGCUCAGGUUUCUCUUUCUCUCCCUCCCUCUUUCUCUCUCUAUAUAUACAAUUAUAUUUUGUCCUCGUAAAGUAUUAUUGAAUUCUUACCUUGGCCCUUAAAGUUUAUUUUUCCCAAUUUGGUCUCUAAACUAUAUGAUCAUUCCCAAUUUGGCUCAAUUCCCAACUGCCGUCCAAAUUAUUGAUCAAAACAUAGCAUGAAAACAUUCAACUUUGUCAGAUAUCAAGAGCUCUGUGGCACAGCUUAUGAUGGGAAUGAGCUGAGAACAUGAAAAACAAAAGAAGGUUAGGAAGUUAUAGAAGACUGUUUUUGAUAGUGCCCUUAUGGGGACAAUAUUGUUCCGAGGGCUACUUAAUUAGGUGUAUUUUUCUACAAACUUUCACUAGAAUUAGUCUUAUUUUUGAGUUUUCCUUAUAUGGAAUUGCAGGAUGCUGUUUUUUUGAAUGAAUAAAAUUACAGGAUGUAGUUAAAGGAAAAGCGUUAGUGGAAGUCAUUGGUGCUGAAUGGCAAAUGGGACCAUGAGAGGACUACACAGAAUGUAUUGUUUUUUCCAUAGAGUCUGCUACAUAUUGAAUCCCUUAGUAGUUGGUAUUGUUUUUUCCUUAAGAGCACUACUAGAAAAUUGACUUUUUGCGUCUUUUUUCUUUUUUUUGGUGACCAUUUGUUUGGCUGUCACGCCCCAAAAUUCGAGACCGUAAAAGAAAUGUACAAAAUACAACUCAAACAGGAUAGAUAACUAAAAUAUUUUAAUAUACACAUAUAAGCAGAGUUAUAGCAUAGAUAAUUCAUUUGUGUUCCGCUAUAGGAUUACAAAAUACUGUCAAACCAAAAGUAAAAUGAAAAAAAAACUACUAGUCUAAAUCUUAAAGUGAACCACGCCUCCAACACUUCAUCUUGAUUGCCUUCGGAUAACCUUCACCACCGUAAAUUGCUUCCUCACCUGGUAUGACACGCCAUGAGCUUGGAAUGUCCAGUAAAAACACAUACACCCCCAUAUCUUCUAUCAACCAAUCAACCAUACAUA